rnacentral:rRNA from 1 species
AACUAACAAGGAUUCCCCUAGUAACGGCGAAUGAAGAGGGAAAAGCCCAAAUUUGUAAUCUGGCUCUCCUGAGACCGAAUUGUCAUCCUUUUAACUGUUUUCAGUGCUGGACCAUAUAUCAGACCGUCUGACAACGCUUCAUCAUAUAAGGAGAGAAUCCUGGUAAUGAUAUGGACUCCCAUUGCGAUAUGAUACAGACUCUAAGAACCAAGUUGUUUGGGAAUGCAUCUCAAAGACGGCGGUAAAUUCCAUCUAAGGCUAAAUAUUGAUGACAGACCGAUAGCAAACAAGUACCGUGAGGGAAAGAUGACCAGAACUUUGGAAAGAGAGUUAACAGUACGUGAAAUUGUUAAAAGGGAAACAAUUGAAGUUAGACUUGUUAUUGUUAGUUCAACCUUUUUUUUAAAGGGAGUAUUCUGAUGAUUAACAGACCAACAUCAACUUUUGAGUGUUGGAGAAGGGUUUAAGGAAAUGUAGCAGUCUCUGAUUGUGUUAUAGUCCUGAGCUUUGAUACAAUGCUUAAGGUUGAGGAUUGCAGUAAGCCUCUUUUUUUUUUUGGGGGGAAACAAAUUAUGGUCCUUCUUGCGGAGGAUGUGGUGGCAAUGGCUUUAAAUG